UGCAGUGUAGCUCAGUGGUGGAGCACUUGUCUGGCACACAGGAGACCCUGGGUCCAAUCCCCAGCAUUGCAA